rnacentral:rRNA from 1 species
GGCCGAAAAGAUGCUAGUGUUAGGGGGUUCUGCCCCUUAGUGCUGCAGCUAACGCAUUAAGCACUCCGCCUGGGGAGUACGGUCGCAAGACUGAAACUCAAAGGAAUUGACGGGGGCCCGCACAAGCGGUGGAGCAUGUGGUUUAAUUCAAAGCAACGCGAAAAACCUUACCAGGUCUUGACAUCCUCUGACAAUCCUAGAGAUAGGACGUCCCCUUCGGGGGCAGAGUGACAGGUGGUGCAUGGUUGUCGUCAGCUCGUGUCGUGAGAUGUUGGGUUAAGUCCCGCAACGAGCGCAACCCUUGAUCUUAGUUGCCAGCAUUCAUUUGGGCACUCUAAAGUGACUGCCGGUGACAAACCGGAAGAAGGUGGGGAUGACGUCAAAUCAUCAUGCCCCUUAUGACCUGGGCUACACACGUGCUACAAUGGACAGAACAAAGGGCAGCGAAACCGCGAGGUUAAGCCAAUCCCACAAAUCUGUUCUCAGUUCGGAUCGCAGUCUGCAACUCGACUGCGUGAAGCUGGAAUCGCUAGUAAUCGCGGAUCAGCAUGCCGCGGUGAAUACGUUCCCGGGCCUUGUACACACCGCCCGUCACACCACGAGAGUUUGUAACACCCGAAGUCGGUGAGGUAACCU